rnacentral:rRNA from 1 species
UGCGCCCGAGGCUUGUCCAAGGGCAUUUCCGCUAGA